GAUGAACGCUGGCGGCGUGCCUAACACAUGCAAGUCGAGCGGAGCGGCGGACGGGUGAGUAAUGCCUAGGAAUCUGCCUGGUAGUGGGGGAUAACGUCCGGAAACGGGCGCUAAUACCGCAUACUAUCAGAUGAGCCGAGGUCGGAUUAGCUAGUAGGUGGGGUAAAGGCCCACCUAGGCGACGAUCUCUAGCUGGUCUGAGAGUAUGAUCAGCCACCCUGUGACUGAGACACGGCCCAGACUCCUCCGGUAGGCAGCAGUGGGGAAUAUUGCACAAUGGGCGCAAGCCGGAUGCAUCCAUGCCGCGUGUAUGAAGAAGGCCUUAGGGUUGUAAAGUACUUUCAGCGGGGAGGCGUUACCCGCAGAAGAAGCACCGGCUAACUCCGUGCCAGCAGCCGCGGUAAUUC
rnacentral:rRNA from 1 species